rnacentral:rRNA from 1 species
GGGGUUAAGGCCUACCAUGGCGACGAUUCGUAGCUGGUCUGAGGAGGAUGAUCAGGCCACCACCGGGACUGAGACACGUCCGGGACUCCUACGGGAGGCAGCAGUGGGGAAUAUUGGACAAUGGGGGAAACCCUGAUCCAGCCAUGCCGCGUGUGUGAAGAAGGCCUUUUGGUUGUAAAGCACUUUAAGCAGUGAAGAAGACUCUUCGGUUUAAUACCCGGAGACGAUGACAUUAGCUGCAGAAUAAGCACCGGGCUAACUCUGUGCCAGCAGCCGCGGUAAUACAGAGGGUGCAAGCGUUAAUCGGAAUUACUGGGCGUAAAGCGAGCGUAGGUGGCUUGAUAAGUCAGAUGUGAAAUCCCCGGGCUUAACCUGGGAACUGCAUCUGAAACUGUUAGGCUAGAGUAGGUGAGAGGGAAGUAGAAUUUCAGGUGUAGCGGUGAAAUGCGUAGAGAUCUGAAGGAAUACCGAUGGCGAAGGCAGCUUCCUGGCAUCAUACUGACACUGAGGCUCGAAAGCGUGGGUAGCAAACAGGAUUAGAUACCCUGGUAGUCCACGCCGUAAACGAUGUCUACUAGUCGUUGGGUCCCUUGAGGACUUAGUGACGCAGCUAACGCAAUAAGUAGACCGCCUGGGGAGUACGGCCGCAAGGUUAAAACUCAAAUGAAUUGACGGGGGCCCGCACAAGCGGUGGAGCAUGUGGUUUAAUUCGAUGCAACGCGAAGAACCUUACCUGGUCUUGACAUAUCUAGAAUCCUGCAGAGAUGCGGGAGUGCCUUCGGGAAUUAGAAUACAGGUGCUGCAUGGCUGUCGUCAGCUCGUGUCGUGAGAUGUUGGGUUAAGUCCCGCAACGAGCGCAACCCUUGUCCUUAGUUACCAGCGGGUUAAGCCGGGAACUCUAAGGAUACUGCCAGUGACAAACUGGAGGAAGGCGGGGACGACGUCAAGUCAUCAUGGCCCUUACGACCAGGGCUACACACGUGCUACAAUGGCAGGUACAGAGGGCAGCUACACAGCGAUGUGAUGCGAAUCUCAAAAAGCCUAUCGUAGUCCAGUAUUGGAGUCUGCAACUCGACUCCAUGAAGUAGGAAUCGCUAGUAAUCGCGGAUCAGAAUGCCGCGGUGAAUACGUUCCCGGGCCUUGUACACUCCGCCCAUCUU